UAAGGGAUAUUGGUCAAUGGGCGCAAGCCUGAACCAGCAACGCCGCGUGCAGGAUGACGGCCUUCGGGUUGUAAACUGCUUUGGAAGGGGACGAGCAAGGACGGUACCCUUCGAACAAGUCACGGCUAACUACGUGCCAGCAGCCGCGGUAAAACGUAGGUGGCAAGCGUUAUCCGGAUUUACUGGGCGUAAAGCAUGUGCAGACGGGUUGGUAAGUGGUGUAUGAAAGCGUCCGGCUUAACCGGGCAAGCGUAUGCCAGACUGCCAGUCUUGAGAGUGGGAGAGGGAUGUGGAAUUCCGGGUGUAGUGGUGAAAUGCGUAGAGAUCCGGAGGAACCCCAGAGGCGAAGGCGGCGUCCUGGCCCAUUUCUGACGUUCAGACAUGACAGCAUGGGGAGCGAAC
rnacentral:rRNA from 1 species